GCGUUACUCGGAAUUACUGGGCGUAAAGCGUGCGUAGGCGGUUGGUUAAGUCUGAUGUGAAAUCCCCGGGCUCAACCUGGGAAUGGCAUUGGAAACUGGCGAGCUAGAGUACGGUAGAGGGUGGUGGAAUUCCCGGUGUAGCAGUGAAAUGCGUAGAGAUCGGGAGGAACAUCUGUGGCGAAGGCGGCCACCUGGACCAGUACUGACGCUGAGGCACGAAAGCGUG
rnacentral:rRNA from 1 species